rnacentral:tRNA from 1 species
UGGCUCAGACAGUAAAGCAUCUGCCUGCAAUGCGGGAGACCCGGGUUCGAUUCCUGG